ACUUUAUGUAUUAAGUAGAACAUUUCUUCAUAGACCAGACCAUGGAAACCAAGUGUGUGGAAAUGCUUCUGCUACAUGUUUAGAG
ensembl:miRNA